rnacentral:lncRNA from 1 species
CUCAGAUAUGACUAGUCAGCUUUGAGGAACCAAUAUUGACUUUAUAGAGCCAAUAAAUCCCCUUGAAAAUAUCAUCCUGGUACCUUGCUUAUAGGAUUCUCAGUAGCCUUACCAGGGAGUAAGGCAGGUCACUUCCUGGCAGGUGCAGGAAGCUCAAAAUAUUUUGGAAACCUCAAGAAGAGAGGAAUUCACACAAAUCUGUAGUUAUUGCAGGUGAGUCUGAUGGAAAGUCCUCAGCUUGGUUUCCUGGCCUUGAGAAGUCUCUAAGUUCAAUCUAGAGAUUCCUUAUGAAAGAUUCCAGCCAAGCACAUUUAAAAGUGCCUAUAUGACCAAUUGCUAUUCUUGCUGCACUUAUGAAAAUAACAAGUCAAGUUUCUUGAACCUAAACUUAUUUUAUAAACAAAUUAAUCUUACUGUGGUUAUACUUGAUAGAAAUGUGAGUAACUUUAGAGAGAAAAAUUAUGUUUCAAUAGAAACUAUAAUACGCAUUUGUGGAUAUUAGAUUCUAGUGCUGUUCAUUAUCUUUUAAGGUUCUGUUUGCUAGCUAUAAACUGGAUGAGAUCCUGAAUUUUUCUAAUUUCCUCCAAUACUUGGCUACAACCCUCCAAAUGAACAUAUCCAAUUUUCUUCCACUUUUUGACUUGAAAUCAUUGAGAACUAAAACUACCCUUUUCCUGAAUCCUUCCAAACUAAAGCCAAAAAUCUUAAUAUAAAUUUCAGAAAAAUUACCACAACAGCUUAUGUAUGGAUAAUCUUUAUACCUGUUACUCUAUGGGCCCCUCAGAAAAAUCGUCAGAGACAUUCACAGUGCAAUCUAGGAAAAUCUGUCAGAUUCCCACUGUCCGCCCUCAAUCCAUCUGAAAUUCCUUCAAACCAAACGUCUAAUAAUCUCCUCGACUGGCUGCCUUUAGAACUCAAAACUAGGAUUAUAAUCUGCUCCAAUCAAUAGCUGUUGUUUUCCUUUUGUUUCAUGGGAAUGUCUCUGCUGAUUUCUUGCACCAUAGGCUUAGCUUUGGGAGUCCACCUGUAUCACUGCCUCCUGAAAUUGGACACUGCCGUUUGAUUAGACUGAUCCAUUUUCUAAACCAAGAGACUGAUGCAAUGAAACGGUGCAAUCUCCCAACCCAUCUUUUGGAUGUGAAAUGUCUCAUGAAGUUUUGAAGGUAAAUAAAGUUUGAGAUAUUAAAAAAAUGGGCAGAGGAUAUAAACAGACAUUUUUCCAAAGAAGAUAUACAGAUGGCCAACAAGCACAUGAAAAGAUGUUCAACAUUAUUAAUUAUUAGGGAAAUGCAAAUCAAAGCUACAAUGCAAGUCACCUCACACCCAUCAGAAUGACUAUUAUUAAAAACACAAGAAAUAACAAAUGUUGGAGAGAAUGUGGAGAAAAAGAAACCCUUGUACACUGCUGGUAAGAAUGUAAAUUGGUGCAACCACUAUGGAAAACAGUAUGGAGAUUUCUUAAAAAAUUAAAAAUAGAACUACCAUAUGACCCAG